rnacentral:rRNA from 1 species
GACGAACGCUGGCGGCGUGCUUAACACAUGCAAGUCGAACGGAAAGGCCCUGCUUUUGUGGGGUGCUCGAGUGGCGAACGGGUGAGUAACACGUGAGUAACCUGCCCUUGACUUUGGGAUAACCUCAGGAAACUGGGGCUAAUACCGGAUAGGAGCUCCUGCUGCAUGGUGGGGGUUGGAGAGUUUCGGCGGUUGGGGAUGGACUCGCGGCUUAUCAGCUUGUUGGUGGGGUAGUGGCUUACCAAGGCUUUGACGGGUAGCCGGCCUGAGAGGGUGACCGGCCACAUUGGGACUGAGAUACGGCCCAGACUCCUACGGGAGGCAGCAGUGGGGAAUAUUGCACAAUGGGCGGAAGCCUGAUGCAGCAACGCCGCGUGCGGGAUGACGGCCUUCGGGUUGUAAACCGCUUUCGCCUGUGACGAAGCGUGAGUGACGGUAAUGGGUAAAGAAGCACCGGCUAACUACGUG